rnacentral:rRNA from 1 species
CUACGGGUGGCUCCAGUGGGGAAUAUUGCACAAUGGGCGCAAGCCUGAUGCAGCCAUGCCGCGUGUAUGAAGAAGGCCUUCGGGUUGUAAAGUACUUUCAGCGGGGAGGAAGGGAGUAAAGUUAAUACCUUUGCUCAUUGACGUUACCCGCAGAAGAAGCACCGGCUAACUCCGUGCCAGCAGCCGCGGUAAUACGGAGGGUGCAAGCGUUAAUCGGAAUUACUGGGCGUGAAGCGCACGCAGGCGGUUUGUUACGUCAGAUGUGAAAUCCCCGGGCUCAACCUGGGAACUGCAUCUGAUACUGGCAAGCUUGAGUCUCGUAGAGGGGGGUAGAAUUCCAGGUGUAGCGGUGAAAUGCGUAGAGAUCUGGAGGAAUACCGGUGGCGAAGGCGGCCCCCUGGACGAAGACUGACGCUCAGGUGCGAAAGCGUGGGGAGCAAACAGGAUUAGAUACCCGCGAGUC